rnacentral:rRNA from 1 species
UACGUAGGGCGCAAGCGUUGUCCGGAAUUAUUGGGCGUAAAGAGCUCGUAGGCGGUUUGUUGCGUCGGCUGUGAAAACCUGCGGCUUAACUGUGGGCUUGCAGUCGAUACGGGCAGACUUGAGUUCGGCAGGGGAGACUGGAAUUCCUGGUGUAGCGGUGAAAUGCGCAGAUAUCAGGAGGAACACCGGUGGCGAAGGCGGGUCUCUGGGCCGAUACUGACGCUGAGGAGCGAAAGCGUGGGGAGCGAACAGG